GAUGAACGCUGGCGGCGUGCCUAACACAUGCAAGUCGAGCGAUCUUCUUCGGAAGAGAGCGGCGGACGGGUGAGUAACGCGUGGGCAACCUGCCCUGUACACACGGAUAACAUACCGAAAGGUAUGCUAAUACGAGAUAAUAUGCUUUUAUCGCAAGGUAGAAGUAUCAAAGCUCUGGCGGUACAGGAUGGACCCGGGUCUGAUUAGCUAGUUGGUAAGGUAACGGCUUACCAAGGCGACGAUCAGUAGCCGACCUGAGAGGGUGAUCGGCCACAUUGGAACUGAGACCCGGUCCAAACUCCUACGGGAGGCAGCAGUGGGGAAUAUUGCACAAUGGGCGAAAGCCUGAUGCAGCAACGCCGCGUGAGCGAUGAAGGCCUUCGGGUCGUAAAGCUCUGUCCUCAAGGAAGAUAAUGACGGUACUUGAGGAGGAAGCCCCGGCUAACUACGUGCCAGCCGCCGCGGUAAAAC
rnacentral:rRNA from 1 species